GCGUUGCAGUGAGGAGUACAUGGCUAGACUCGGUGCCAGUGAUCCGUUAAGUGAUAUGGCUGAAAUCCAUCGGCGGAUGUUAUUGGAGAGGUGCAGCAUGGAUACAUCUGAUUACGUGACCUGAAGGUGCUGUGGAUUAUGUGGAGCCUGAAAAAAAUGGAACAAAUGCCUGAUCUGUGGUAUCCCUGCAUCUUCUACCAGUGAGGGGACAUAGUAAAUCUUGCCCUUGGUGCAUGAUAACAUUGACGCUGUCGGGCUUGGUAACCUGUUGACGAUCAGACUUGCCAGAAAAUCUGCUUAUAACUUAAAUGAACUCCAUUAUAGUUCUGAAGAGAACAUGGAGUCUCCUGUGUUUACAUCAAAAUUGGUUUAACAUAUGCAACUAUAUUAAAAAAUAAAGAAUACCUUUUUUU